AAACUUCGCAAUACACGAAAGUGUGACGGGGCCAUCCCGAGUGCCGUCCGCUGAGGAUGGCUUUUCUCCAGUAUAGAUCGCUGGAGGAAUAAGGAGAGGGCAAGUCUGGUGUCAGCCGCCGCGGUAAUACCAGCUCUCCGAGUGGUGGGGAUGUUUAUUGGGCCUGAAGCAUCCGUAGCCGGUUGGGCAAGUUCUCCGUUAAAUCCAGCGACUAAUCGUUGGUCUGCGGGGGGUACUGCCCGGCUAGGAGGCGGGAGAGGCCGACGGUAUUCUAGGGGUAGGGGUGAAAUCCUAUAAUCCCUGGAAGACCACCAGUGGCGAAGGCUGUCGGCUAGAACGCGCUCGACGGUGAGGGAUGAAAGCUGGGGGAGCGAACCGG
rnacentral:rRNA from 1 species